GGAACAGAAUUGUGAAUUAAUGAAGAAACAUUUUCCUUCCAACAGGAGGAAGUCUGUGAAUGUCUGACAGAAGGAUUGCAGGAUGUUACAACAAGUGGCUAUAGGGCAUAUUUCCCAUUCUUCCAUUUUCCAAGAAGAUUCCGACCCCUUGCCUCUGUGAAGGAGAUUUCACAGGAGAUAGAUGUACAAGUGUUGUGUUCUUUACUCUGGAGACAAAGAUGUAUUUUCACAUGCCAUGUUGAAUAAUUUAUCAUCACAUCAUACUCUGGACGUCCAUUUCUGUGUUGAAUAGGAGUGGUGAGAGUUGGCAUCCUUCUCUUGUUCUUAAUCUUGAAGAAAAAGAUUACAACUUUUCACCAAUGAGAAUGAUGUCAGCUGUGGGCGUGUCAUAUAUGGCCUUCAUUAUGUUGAGUACAGUGAUCUUCCUACUGGAGUAUAUGUGCUCCUAGAAAAAUACAGACUUUCCAGCAAAUUCUCAGCUGUGAAAAUCUUAGAAUAAUCUGUUUAUAGAUCCCCAACUGCCUCCACAGUUGGUUGAAUCCACUGAUGUGGAACCUGCAGAGGGCCUACUGUACUCCAGCGGAGACAUACCUUCAAAGACUUGGCGUAAGAAGUUCUUAAUAGUCUUCUCCUUUCCUUUCAGGACAGUAACAAAAAAGGGUUUUUGUUGCUCUUGGUUGCUCUCAAAAAGAACGUGAAUAGUACUAUGUGGUAUAUGAUGUUAUUGACAGAAACACGUAUUUUUAAGAACCUGUCCCCAGAUUACACUUAGAUGACCUUAAUUGCACAGUUGAGGGGAACAAAAAUGGCCUCUCCCUUUCCUUUUCUGCACUGAAUGCAGUCAUGUAUUGCCUAGAUCCCACAGUCCCCUAAGAACACACAUAUUUAAUCCCCUGGGGCUAAAAGCUCACAACUAAGUCCCAGAAUCCAUCAGACUCCAUCACCCUGUGCUUACUUCAAGAACAUUCCCAAGAUCAAGUUCAAUGACUAGUCCAUUCCCAGUUCUGGACAAUUCUGACCCACCAUCCUAGCUUCAAAGCUUUUUGUGGUAUUGAAUGACCUUUACUGAGACUACAUCAGUAACCCCCAACUUCUUCUGCUAAAUCCUGCUUCCUUUAUUCCUGCACUGGGUUGACUCCUACAGGACUCCCAAAUCAACUUUGUGUACACACAGCUCUGCCAUAAGAUCUGUUCCCAGGGAAGCUUAACUCAUAACACUCUAUUUUAAAUUCAUUCAGUUAUUAAAAUCUGCCCAUUUAUCUCUUAUUUGGCUCCAAAAUCUGUUACCUCUUUCCCAUCUUGACUGGUGUAAUUAAACCAGACUCUUAGCUAACUUCUAUUAACUGUUCUGCUUCUAUUUAUUUCCUCCUUA